CAGCCGCCGCGGUAAUACGGAGGAUCCAAGCGUUAUCCGGAAUCAUUGGGUUUAAAGGGUCCGUAGGCGGUCUUGUAAGUCAGUGGUGAAAGCCCAUCGCUCAACGGUGGAACGGCCAUUGAUACUGCAGGACUUGAAUUAUUGGGAAGUAACUAGAAUAUGUAGUGUAGCGGUGAAAUGCUUAGAGAUUACAUGGAAUACCAAUUGCGAAGGCAGGUUACUACCAAUUGAUUGACGCUGAUGGACGAAAGCGUGGGUAGCGAACAGGAUUAGAUACCCGCGUAGUCCCUGUCUCUUAUAC
rnacentral:rRNA from 1 species